CGGCCGGGUCCCCUAGGCGCGGGAUGGGCACCGACCCUCAGCAUCAGCCGAGACGGCUGGCGGGAGGGAGACCCCGAGGCCCGGACGCCGCGGCGCAGAGCGUGGCCGCCUCGCUGCUCCGGCACGGCUCGCCCAGGGCGGACUGGGGCGGCUUGGACCCCCCCCCUCCCACCCACCCCACCCACCCACCCCUCCCCCACACCCCCGCCCCCUGCCCUUCCCGAGGGCAGCAGCCGUGGCCCGGAGAUAAGCGCUAGCGCGGCGCAGGGCUCUGCCUGGGCUAGUGGCACCGACUUGGGCAGAAACUCUUAAAAUCCUGGCAGCCAAGAGGGAAGUAACCUGGGGGAAAUGGACACAAGUCCAGGCAGUGAAGUGGGAUGCGCUGGGCUCAGUAGGAAAAGAAAACGCAGAGACCUGGGAAACGCGUGCUUUUCCCGUAGGAAAAAGAGCAGUUCCGCCCACCUAAAGGAACGGAGAAGACCCGCUGCCUGCGACGUCUACACAUUCGAAAGGCAGCAGCAACCUCCCUCAUGCCGCGGAAAGGCAAAAGGAUAGGAGAAACUGCAAGGCGGCGAGACAAGUUUCCUCAACGCAGAUCUGUGACUGACGACCAUUCCCGAACUCACAGUCUCCGCGGGCGCCGCAAACAGUCGACAGGGAGCGCGGCCCACGCAGCGGCCGCCGCACCCGUGGCCUCUACUUGCUUCUGCCCUGCUGCUCGGUGUAGGGGUUUGUUUGGAGCUCGCUCGAAGAAACAAACACGCUCCUCUGACACCCCCGGCCGCCCCCGCACGCACAUCUUUGGUCUCUGCAACCGCCCCGCCUGCACAGUGCCGGCCUUUUUCGGGGCAGACUCUUUGUCUGCCUGAAACCCCGCAUUCCCGGGGCGUGCAGCUCAAGAGAACCCAGCUCCAAAACGUCUCCGAGGUUAAAUAUUGACCAGAACCUCCUUCAAGGGGCUGCAGCUGCCUGGACGAGGAAACUCCUCCCAAAGGCCCGUGCAAAGCCCGGAGGAGUGAAGAGUUGGCGCAGCGCUUACCUCGAAAGAUGUUUAAGACUGAACCAGUGAUUGUCUCCAACUCCGGGCACUCAGGGAAUCGCCUUUUCCGGUGUCCUGGCGCUCUGCGGACAAAUAAACAGCAGAGAGUAAACGGUGGCUGCGAAGGAAGGGAGCUGGAGAACCGGAGUUGGAAGUGCGGCCCUGCGCGGGCGCCAGGGUGGCCCCCGGGGUGACGCGGACACGGAGGAGUCGCCAGGGCACUCUUCCAUGAGGCGCACUCGUUGCUCGAAAGGGUCCAGUCUAAGAAUGGCCUGCAGAUGAUGAUUUAUUUUUGUAAAAUAAAUACAUACUCCAUCUCCG